rnacentral:rRNA from 1 species
UACGUAGGGCGCAAGCGUUGUCCGGAAUUAUUGGGCGUAAAGAGCUCGUAGGCGGCCAGUUGCGUCCGCUGUGAAAUCCUGGGGCUUAACCCCGGGCGUGCAGUGGAUACGGGCUGGCUAGAGGCAGGCAGGGGAGAACGGAAUUCCCGGUGUAGCGGUGAAAUGCGCAGAUAUCGGGAGGAACACCGGUGGCGAAGGCGGUUCUCUGGGCCUGGACUGACGCUGAGGAGCGAAAGCGUGGGGAGCGAACAGG